rnacentral:rRNA from 1 species
AGUGAACGCUGGCGGCGUGCCUAAUACAUGCAAGUCGAACGGAGAUUAAGUAGCUUGCUAUUUAAUCUUAGUGGCGCACGGGUGAGUAAUAUAUAGCUAACUUGCCCAUUACUAAGGGACAACAGUUGGAAACGACUGCUAAUACCUUAUACUCCGUAUCUAUAUAAGUAGAUACGGGAAAGUUUUUCGGUAAUGGAUAGGGCUAUAUCGUAUCAGCUAGUUGGUAAGGUAAUGGCUUACCAAGGCUAUGACGCGUAACUGGUCUGAGGGGAUGAUCAGUCACACUGGAACUGAGACACGGUCCAGACUCCUACGGGAGGCAGCAGUAGGGAAUAUUGCUCAAUGGGGGAAACCCUGAAGCAGCAACGCCGCGUGGAGGAUGACACUUUUCGGAGCGUAAACUCCUUUUCUUGGGAAAGAAUUAUGACGGUACCCAAGGAAUAAGCACCGGCUAACUCCGUG